GUGAAGAGAGCUGUAAAACCCAAAAUCUAAGCAUGAGAGAUAGCAUUACAAGAGGAAACAUAUGACAGUUAAUCAAACUACGAAAUCAUCUCAACGUAAUAACUCAUUGAAUAGUGAGAUUAGAGCUGAGUUUUAUAGCAAUAAUACAUGGGAAUCAGAUUCCUUGAACAUUGGCCGAUCGAGACCCCUUCCCUCACUGAUCUCAGCUCGAAAAUUAACAAGUUCGAACUAAGGCACCAUCCUUAACUUAAAUCCAAAAACGAACACGAAAUUAAAACUUCAAAACCUUAGAUUUGUUUGAACGGAUCCAGUUAGAAAAGAUUAUACUCUUCUCGUAGUCGUCUGGAACCCCGGUGGCUUCCUGGGCUCUGGAAAAAGGAAACCGUAUAGAGUCAGU
rnacentral:lncRNA from 1 species